CCUACCGGUGGCAGCAGUGGGGAAUCUUCCACAAUGGACGAAAGCCUGAUGCAGCACCGCCGCGUGAGCGAAGAAGGCGUUCGGAUUGUAAAGCUCUGUUGUGAGUGAGAGAACAAGUACGCGAGCAUCCGCCCGUGACUGACGGUACCUCAGAAAAGCACCGCUACAUCG
rnacentral:rRNA from 1 species